UCCUGCCUUGGCUGGAGCAGUCAUUGCACCAGCUCUAGGGCAAGCUCAGCCUUCCGUGCACGGCUGGAGGUUGCGGCUGCUAACAGAGGGUCUGCGUGCGUGAGUCUGUGGCCGCGGAGCGUUGCCAUGGCGGGUGUGCUGAGCAGGGACACGCCGGACAUCGAGGGGAGACUAGUGGACCAGGAGGGACACGGCACCCUGGGACCAGGACCUGGUCACUUCCUAGGAGUCUUAAAGGUAGCCACCUCUCUCUGCCCUAAGUCACAGUGGCCCAGAAGCUCCGAGUUCAGAGGCGUGGACUCCAGGGGAACGAAGCGCUUCUUACCCACCCAUGCGACCCUCUAUCUGUUGCUCUGUCCCCUCCGUGCCGUUGGGGGACACCCAUCCAGUGUCCCCACCUACAGUAGCUGAGCCCUGCUGUCUGCAAAAGUGGAGUGUAGAAAUCCAAGAUCCAGGCCUCUGUCUCAAGCUGUGCUGGCCAAGGUAUUGUUUACGACUUAAUUUCACAUUUGGAAGAAUGGAACGAAGUACAGAGGACAUUGGAAAGUGCAACCUCCCUGGAAAGAGAUACACAAAUUGUCCUGUUCUCUCCUCUCAACCGUGUUUGGUUCUCUUUUGCACUCUGUUUCUGCAAAAAUCUCACUGUUCUGCGAAUAAGUUCCAACCUGAAAUGGCAAAACCUUUCUUUUGCGUGCUUCCAGGUACUUUAGUGUAUGUAUGAUGGGAGAAAGAUUGAGCUAUAACCGUGAUUUUAACCACACUGAAACAAAGCCUGUGUUUCUCGGGUUUCUGUUCCGCUUUGUUUAGGGUUUUUCUCUAAGAUAAAAACAAAACAAAACUCCCUUUGA